rnacentral:rRNA from 1 species
GACAAACGCUGGCGGCGUGCCUAAAACAUGCAAGUCGUACGGUCCUUCGGGACAGUGGCGGACGGCUGAGUAACACGUAGGUAACCUACCCUCGAGUGGGGAAUAACCCCGGGAAACCGGAGCUAAUACCGCAUACGACCGCCGGUCCACGGAUCGGUGAGGAAAGUCGCAAGGCGCGCGAGGAUGGGCCUGCGUCCGAUUAGCUAGUUGGUGAGGUAACGGCCCACCAAGGCAUCGAUCGGUAGCUGGUCUGAGAGGAUGAUCAGCCAGACUGGGACUGUGACACGGCCCAGACUCCUACGGGAGGCAGCAGUUAGGAAUCUUGGGCAAUGGGCGAAAGCCUGACCCAGCAACGCCGCGUGGGUGAUGAAGGCCUUCGGGUCGUAAAGCCCUUUUACACGGGAAGAUAAUGACGGUACCGUGUGAAUAAGCCCCGGCUAACUACGUGCCAGCCGCCGCCGUAAGAC